AGCUGGCCGAGUGCAGCACGACUCGUCCGCCUAGGGUGGCUUGGCCACGAUGGGCCAAGACCACGAGAACGGUUUCGCAUUGAGUUGCGGAUACAAACCAUUUCAAGUUGAUUGUACAAUCUACCCAAAUUUUUGAUACCUGGCCAACUGGCUGUAGUGCGCCCAUGCGACGACUACGAAACUGAUAUUGGAUAAUUCGGUGAUGACGGCGGAAGAUCUGAGUUUAGAGGACCUUGUACCAACGGAUUUGAAACGUUAAAGUGCAAGACUCUGAGUGAAGUCCAACGUUCAUGUCAAACGCCUUAUUUGUGUAUUGAUAAGUAUGAAUGUGUAAUAUUGUAUUGACUAACCCCUGAAAUUAUCAUUUGGCUGAAACGUCUUUAUAAUUAAAUCGACGUCUUUUAAGGAAUUUUAUAUAAA